UGAGUAACACGUGGGUGAUCUGCCCUGCACUUUGGGAUAAGCCUGGGAAACUGGGUCUAAUACCGGAUAGGAUUACGCGAUGCAUGUCGUGUGGUGGAAAGCUUUUGCGGUGUGGGAUGGGCCCGCGGCCUAUCAGCUUGUUGGUGAGGUUAUGGCUUACCAAGGCGACGACGGGUAGCCGGCCUGAGAGGGUGUCCGGCCACACUGGGACUGAGAUACGGCCCAGACUCCUACGGGAGGCAGCAGUGGGGAAUAUUGCACAAUGGGCGCAAGCCUGAUGCAGCGACGCCGCGUGAGGGAUGACGGCCUUCGGGUUGUAAACCUCUUUCAGCAGGGACGAAGCGCAAGUGACGGUACCUGUAGAAGAAGCACCGGCCAACUACGUGCCAGCAGCCGCGGUAAUACGUAGGGUGCGAGCGUUGUCCGGAAUUACUGGGCGUAAAGAGCUCGUAGGUGGUUUGUCG
rnacentral:rRNA from 1 species